UAUUCUAAAUGAAUGGUAAUCGGUUUGACGCGAUGACGUCAUUGACGUGGUGCGUAAGGUGAGCGUAAGGUUGACUAAACACUAACCAGCGCGGCAGAUGAGAAAAGCUUGUUUACUUCGUUGAUGUGGCGGCAAAACCAUAACAUGGAGGCGAGUGAGGACCGCGGACUAGAUGUGGAAUGUGUUGUUAAUCGGUGGAUGGUGGAUUAUUAUGUAUCUGUGGCGUUUGAGGCUUUCAAGAAUGAACAGGACACUGAUUUCUGUGAGAUCAGAGACAUCCUUCAAUGUCAUCUGGUUCGGCCGUUGGAAGCCAACGACGCCACACCCAAGAAGAUUCGAGCAAUACAGUUCCUCGCCAGGAUAAAUGACGGUGACAAACUCGACUUCUCGUUUGACUCUCAGGAGGACCUCACGCCGCUGGAAUCUGCUCUGAGCGUAUUGGACAGCAUCCGCGAGGAGUCGCCGGUUCCCCAGAAAGACGUGGACAGAGUACAGAAGUCUAUCAGAGAGAUGUUGGUGAUCGUGUGCCUUAAGAACCAGGCCUUUGACAAAGCCAAGGAGGUUUUGGUGAAGUACUUCCCAAAAAGCAACGUUGGAAAGAAAGCGAUCUUCCUGGGGCUGGUCAACAAGAGGAGCAGUGAGCAUUCAGUCCUGCAGCAGGUCACCUACCAGCAGUUUAAACAGGAGAUGCUGCUGUUCUGUGAGAGCCUGUUCCCCUACUCUCAUCCUUUCCUGUCCAGGGCUGCCAGACAGCUGAUGGUGAAGAGACAGGAAGCAGGACAGGAUGCAGAGGAAGGAGACUGUCCCUCAGACACUCAGCCAGAGGACCACCUUGUUCCAGCCACAGAGGAGAAGGCAUCCAGACACAAACCCAGUCCUCCUCCUGGUGGCGUCCUGCUGACCCGCUGCCAGCUGAUGGCCGUUUAUACAGCCCUGGCCGAGGAGCUGAGGGAGCCCAUGACCUUUGCGGAGCUGGAGGAGGAAGUGGAAAUGGAGGUGAUGGAGGAGAAUGCAGGAAAAGGAGUUGCAGUUAUGGACCAAGAGGAACCUCUCCUGCACCUCUCCGAAAGCCCCAGGCAGGGCUCAGACGCUGUGUUGGAGCAGGAAGUCCCCAGGUCCCAGAGAGACUCCGACAGUCCAAUGGAGGCGUCCCCUGCUGACCUGGUUCCCCCAGCAGACCUGGCACCAGGUCCCCAGUGGAAGAGCAGAGGCUGGCCUCAUACCAUAGCCAGGCUGGUUAUGGAGCCAGACAGCCAGGAUUCUACGGCCUCUCGAGAAUCAGUAUCCAACGGGGAGGAGUCAGUCAGCCGGGCGGACCCACUAAGCUCCGCCUCCACCUACAGCCCACCAACACGGAAGUAUCGCAAACGACGAGCCAGCGAGAUACCCGGAGAGACCUCGUCUGACCCUGAGGAGGAUGUGUGUAUUCUGGAUAACACACCUGAGCAGAGAGGCUCCGCCCCCCAGAGAAGCUCCACCCCCACCCCCCAGAGAGUCUCUGCCCAUCAGAGAAGCCCCACCCAUCAGAGAAGCCCCACCCCCACCCCCCAAAGGAUCUCUGCCCCCCAGAGAAGCUCCACCCCCACCCCCCAGAGAGGUUCUUCACAUAAGAGAAGCCCCACCCCUCAGAGAAGCUCCACCCCCCAAAGGAUCUCUGCCCCCCAGAGAGGUUCGUCACAUAAGAGAAGCCCCACCUCCCAGACAAGCCACACCCACCAGAGAAGCCCCACCCCCCCGAGAGGCUCCACCCCCACCCCCCAGAGAGGGCCUUCACAUAAGAGAAGCCCCACCCCCCAGAGAAGCCCCGCCCCUCAGAAGGCCUCCACCAGUCAAAAGGGAACUGAUCUGAAGUGGAAGCAGCUAUUCAGUGUUGCUAAGGAAUCCAAGGAUCGGUGGAGUGAUGAAGAGGAUUUAUUCGACUCUCCUCACAAAGACAGCUCUGAGGACAACGCCAGUACUACCGGAGGAGGCAGGAAGAGGGUGAGUUUAGGAUCUGAGGACAGGAAGAGGGUGAGUUUAGGAUCUGGAGACACCAGUACUACAGGAAGAGGGUGAGUUUAGGAUCUGGAGACACCAGUACUACAGGAGGAGGCAGGAAGAGGGUGAGUUUAGGCUCUGGAGACACCAGUACUACAGGAGGAGGGUGAGUUUAGGAUCUGGAGACACCAGUACUACCGGAGGAGGCAGGAAGAGGGUGAGUUUAGGAUCUGGAGACACCAGUACUACAGGAAGAGGGUGAGUUUAGGAUCUGGAGACACCAGUACUACUGGAGGAGGCAGGAAGAGGGUGAGUUUAGGCUCUGGAGACACCAGUACUACAGGAGGAGGGUGAGUUUAGGAUCUGGAGACGCCAGUACUACAGGAGGAGGCAGGAAGAGGGUGAGUUUAGGAUCUGAGGACAGGAAGAGGGUGAGUUUAGGAUCUGGAGACACCAGUACUACAGGAGGAGGCAGGAAGAGGGUGAGUUUAGGAUCUGGAGACACCAGUACUACAGGAGGAGGCAGAAAGAGGGUGAGUUUAGGCUCUGGAGACACCAGUACUACAGGAAGAGGGUGAGUUUAGGCUCUGGAGACACCAGUACUACAGGAAGAGGGUGAGUUUAGGCUCUGGAGACACCAGUACUACAGGAGGAGGCAGGAAGAGGGUGAGUUUAGGAUCUGGAGACACCAGUACUACAGGAGGAGGCAGGAAGAGGGUGAGUUUAGGAUCUGGAGACACCAGUACUACAGGAGGAGGCAGAAAGAGGGUGAGUUUAGGAUCUGGAGACACCAGUACUACAGGAAGAGGGUGAGUUUAGGCUCUGGAGACACCAGUACUACUGGAAGAGGCAGGAAGAGGGUGAGUUUAGGAUCUGGAGACACCAGUACUACAGGAGGAGGCAGGAAGAGGGUGAGUUUAGGAUCUGGAGACACCAGUACUACAGGAGGAGGCAGGAAGAGGGUGAGUUUAGGUUCUGGAGACACCAGUACUACAGGAGGAGGCAGGAAGAUGGUGAGUUUAGGUUCUGGAGACAGGAAGAGGGUGAGUUUAGGAUCUGGAGACACCAGUACUACAGGAGGAGGCAGGAAGAGGGUGAGUUUAGGAUCUGGAGACACCAGUACUACAGGAGGAGGCAGGAAGAGGGUGAGUUUAGGAUCUGGAGACACCAGUACUACAGGAAGAGGGUGAGUUUAGGAUCUGGAGACGCCAGUACUACCGGAGGAGGCAGGAAGAGGAUGUGGACAGCAGAGGAGACCGAGUGGGUGAAGGAGGGAGUGAGGCGCUACGGAGAGGGGAACUGGUCCAGGG